UAUUUAAAAAGUUAGUCUAACACCUAUCUUUCCGUUUGGCGGGAGCCCGUUUCUGCCUGGAUUACGCACGUGACCUGGAUCUUACUAAAGGAAAAGCCUACUUCCUCGGUUGAAAAAAAUUAAAUUAAAUUAAUUAAAUAUGCACUGAAUAGUCGAAACGCUAUAUUUAAUUAAUACUUACCGACAAAAUCAGAGAAUUUUGGAUUUUUUCGAGAGGACCUAAGCCUACGUCUCAAACAUGAGUAAUUUGUUAAAAAGGCUGAUCAAAUUUUAAUUAAAAAUGUACUGAAACAAAAGUCACGUUAUUAAUAUACAUAUAUGGCAAAAAUCGAAAACAACAGAAUCUGGCAGGCUCCGGUUUUUACUUUCUCUAAAAAUUUUGAAAACGGAAAGUUUUUGGCACCCGCAUUCGCAAAACGCAAAAUUUUUUCGUUAUAAAAACGGCAAAAUAUUCCUCACCGAAAUGAAAAUUAGAAGGCUUCUUUAUACAACAAAAUGAAUCUUAAUUGCAUAAGAAUAAAAAUAUAUGGCUUAUUGAUGUAUUGACACCAUUAUCAACGUAAUUAAACUUAUACCUUUUUUUAUUUAAGCCCAACUUUAAAAUAGGAUUUACAAAAAUUGGUCAAUGCAACAACGCCUUGCGUUUCCGUGUGAACAGCUGUAGCAGCCUGAUUUGGUUAUCGAAAUAUCGUGUUAAGAUACAGAGGCCCUUUGUCUGAGAAAAGCACUAACGCGUGGGCAUGACACUAAAUAUUGCGCUUAACAGGACAUGAUAAAAAAUCGCAUCGAUCACAAACAUUUGCGAGUCUGACUUUUGGCUAAAAACAUAAAACGGAAAAUAACCGAAUAUAUGAAACGAUUGUCUCGUUCAAACAAUACGACAAAUUUUGGCCCGGAAGAUCCGAAGAUCGCUCGCUAAGAUAAGUACAACCAUGAAAGGUGGGACAGCAUUAGAUUCAACUAUCCGCUAUCGAAGUAUUAGAUUUUUCGCUAUAGAGGCUAUGACUCAGACUGCAAAUCUACAGAAAAUUAUUGAACCCACCCACCAAUUCAGUUGUAUUUUAUACAUAUACAUUUAAUUUAAUAUAAUU